UUCCUAGUAGUAUAAAGAGUACAUUUACCUUCCAAGUAAAAAGUCUAUCAAGUUAGGA
rnacentral:tRNA from 1 species